UCUGCGAUAUUUUUAAUCGGAUGUACUCCAAAAAAAUGGAGAGUGCUACAUUAUUGCAGCUAGCAACAAAGUAGUUCCCAAAAUAUUUCUCCACAACACAUGGAUUUAUGUGCUUAUUGACAUAAACCUGAGUCAGAUCUCGAGUUUGUUUACAGUCUGAGGACAGGGAGGUUCAGUAGCCUGGAGGCCCAAAGAAAAGUCUAAACCAAAGAUUACCUGAAAGUUUGCCCAAUAGUGAUCACUUGAUGAGCCAGACACAAAUUGAAGUGUUAGUGAUAUAAUGGAGAGAAAAAUACUCACUUUCUAAUCCAUUCAUAGAUGUUGUUUCUCUCCCCGGCUUCAUGUUUGCUAUGUCCAAUAUGAUUCAUAACUUUUCUUUAAAGUUUGUACCAAUUGACAUUCAAACCAUGGACACCUGCAGCACUGAGCAUUUUACUUUCAUUUCUUCUUCAGUCUGAAUAUCUGUAAGAUAAUCUUAAUAAAUAUAGGAUAGACUUGGAA